rnacentral:rRNA from 1 species
CCCAGUUCAGGGAGGUAGUGACAAUAAAUACCUUACAGAGGUCUCGUUAACCGAGAUCUCUCAAACGGAAUGAGUACAACGUGAAUCCUUUAACGAGGAUCGACUGGAGGGCAAGCCUGGUGCCAGCAGCCGCGGUAAUUCCAGCUCCAGUAGCGUAUAUUAAAGCUGUUGCGGUUAAAAAGCUCGUAGUUGGAUAUCAGUGCGUGUCCGGUCCGGUAUGCCUGGCGGCGUCGCUCGCGCGGCACUGCUGGGCUCCCAAAUAUCGGCUGGCCGCAUUCAAUCGUGCCGGAUCCGUCGACGGGCCGUUCUUCGGAGGGGCCUGUUGGCGACCGGCGACGUUACCUUGAACAAAUUAGAGUGCUCAAAGCAGGCUCUGAAUGCCUGUAUACAUAUUCAUGGAAUUGGAGAAUACGUCCCUGGCUCGAUUUGGUUGGUUUUGAGAGUCGAAGGGAAAUGAUUAAUAGGGACUGACGGAGGCAUUCGUAUUGCGACGCGAGGGGUGAAAUCCUGUGACCGUCGCACGACGAACUACUGCGAAAGCAUUUGCCGAGAAUGUUUUCAUUAGUCAAGAACGAAAGUUAGAGGUUCGAAGGCGAUCAGAUACCGCCCUAGUUCUAACCGUAAACGAUGUCGACCAGCAAUCCGCAACGGUCACUACACGGACUGUGCGGGCAGCUUCCCCGGGGAAACCAGAGUUUUUGGACUCCGGGGGAAGUAUGGUUGCAAAGCUGAAACUUAAAGGAAUUGACGGAAGGGCACCACCAGGAGUGGAGCUUGCGGCUUAAUUUGACUCAACACGGGACAACUCACCAGGCCCGGACACCGUAAGGAUUGACAGACUGAUAGCUCUCUCUUGAUUCAGUGGGUGGUGGUGCAUGGCCGUUCUUAGUUGGUGGAGUGAUUUGUCUGGUUUAUUCCGAUAACGAACGAGACUCUGGCCUAUUAAACUUGACGCUGCCAGUCUCUUGUGACUGCGGCGCGCUUCUUAGAGGGAUCAUCGGCGUCCCAGCCGAAGGAAAGGGAGCAAUAACAGGUCUGUGAUGCCCUUAGAUGUUCUGGGCUGCACGCGUGUUACACUGAAGUGGUCAGCGCGCCGUUCAACGUCCCUCUCCGUGAGGAGCGGGCAAACGUUUGAACCCUUUUCGUGAUGGGAAUUGGGGGUUGCAAUUGUCCCCCAUGAACGAGGAAUUCCAAGUAAGCGCAAGUCACUAGCUUGCGUUGAUUAAGUCCCUGCCCUUUGUACACACCGCCCGUCGCUACUACCGAUGGAUGAUUUGGUGAGGUCGCCUA